GCCUCAUCCUCCUCUCCUCGAAACGUUACUCUGACUCUCGGUUUCAACCGCAGCGUCAACAGAAAGCCCAGCAGCUCCUCUCAUCUGUAGUUCACGUUGCUCAAGUUCAGUUGGUGAUGGGAAGCACAGCAUCAACAUCGACAUCAACAUCUCGUUCUGAACAUCAAAGCAGCUCGAGGUCUGUGGACGAAGUACCCACUGACAUG